GACGAACACUGGUGUGCUGCCUAAUACCUGAUAGGAGAACGCUAAAGGAGGAGCUUGCUUCUCCGGAUGAUUUGCAAACCGGUGGGAAACGCGUACGGAACCUGCCUGGUAGCUCAGGAUCACUAGUGGAAACUACUCCUAAUACCGCAUUGUAGUAUAUGUUGCAUCACAUUUGCUUAGGAGGUGAAGAUGUGUCACUAUCACAUGCACCUGCCUAGUAUAACCCAGCUGGCGGGGCAACGGCUCACCCAUGCCACGAUGCCUACCCUACCUGAGAGGGUGAUCCGCCGCACUGGUACUGAAACAUCUCCCAAACUCCUACGGAAAGCAGCAUGCGCCAAUCGUCAGCCGUGCACGGAAGACUGACCCACCUCCCUCACGUGAGCGAAUAAGGGUUUCAGAUCGUAAAGGUCUGUUGUAAGACAUCAACUAGUGCCAGAGGGUAAAGCUCUCACUGUGACCGCCUCCUACCCCAUAGGGACUGAUCACUACGUGCCAACUCCCGCGGUAAUACACUUGUCCCGAUCGCUGUCCGGAUUAAUUGGGCGUAUAGAGAGCGCACGCAGUUACAUAAGUCUGAAGUUAAAGGCUGUGGGCUUAACCUUAGUACGCGUUUGGAAACUGUUUAACUUGAGUGCAAGAGGGGAGAGUGGAAUUCCCUGUGUAGAGGUGAAAUGCGUAGAUAUAUGGAGGAACACCGGUGGCGAAAGCGGCUCUCUGGCUUGUAACUGACACUGAGGCUCGAAAGCGUGGGGAGCAAACAGGAUUAUAUACCCUGGUAGUCCACGCCGUAAACGAUGAGUGCUAGGUGUUAGACCCUUUCCGGGGUUUAGUGCCGCAGCUAACGCAUUAAGCACUCCGCCUGGGGAGUACGACCGCCAGGUUGAAACUCAAAGGAAUUGACGGGGGCCCGCACAACCGGUGGAGCAUGUGGUUUAAUUCGAAGCAACGCGAAGAACCUUACCAGGUCUUGACAUCCCUCUGACCGCUCUAGAGAUAGAGUUUUCCUUCGGGACAGAGGUGACAGGUGGUGCAUGGUUGUCGUCAGCUUGUGUCGUGAGAUGUUGGGUUAAGUCCCGCAACGAGCGCAACCCCUAUUGUUAGUCACCAUCAUUCAGAUGGGCACUCUAGCGAGACUGCCGGUAAUAAACCGGAGGAAGGUGGGGAAGACGUCAAAUCAUCAUGCUCCUUAUGACCUGGGCUACCCAGAUGUUACAUUGGUUGGUACAACCAGUCGCAAGGCCCGUGACCGCCAGCUAAUCUCAUAAACCCAACUCAGAUUGGAUUGAAGGUGCAACUCCCCAUCAUCAAUCCGAAUCCCUAGUAAUCCCCGACUAGCACGCCCAGCUGUAAUACUUCCCAGGCCU
rnacentral:rRNA from 1 species